GACGAACGCUGGCGGCGUGCUUAACACAUGCAAGUCGAACGGUAAGGCCCUUCGGGUACACGAGUGGCGAACGGGUGAGUAACACGUGGGAGAUCUGCCCUGCACUUCGGGAUAAGCCUGGGAAACUGGGUCUAAUACCGGAUAGGACCACUGCCUGCAUGGGUGGUGGUGGAAAGCUUUUGCGGUGUGGGAUGGGCCCGCUGCCUAUGAGCUUGUUGGUGGGGUGAUGGCCUACCAAGGCGACGACGGGUAGCCGGCCUGAGAGGGUGACCGGCCACACUGGGACUGAGAUACGGCCCAGACUCCUACGGGAGGCAGCAGUGGGGAAUAUUGCACAAUGGGCGCAAGCCUGAUGCAGCGACGCCGCGUGAGGGAUGACGGCCUUCGGGUUGUAAACCUCUUUCAGCACCGACGAAGCGCAAGUGACGGUAGGUGCAGAAGAAGGACCGGCCAACUACGUGCCAGCAGCCGCCGUAA
rnacentral:rRNA from 1 species